rnacentral:tRNA from 1 species
GCAGUUGUGGUUCAGUGGUAGAACUCUUGCCUUCCAUGUGGGACACCCGGGUUUGAUUCCCAGCCAGUGCA